GACGAACGCUGGCGGCGUGCCUAAUACAUGCAAGUCGAACGCAGUGGGGACGGGUGAGUAACACGUGGGUAACCUCCAUCAGAGGGGAUAACACUUGGAAAACGGUGCUAAACCGAUACUGAUGGAUUGACCCGGGGUGCAUUUGCUAGUUGGUGGGGUAACGGCUCACCUAGGCGACGAGCUCUAGCUGUGCUGAGAGGAGGAUCAGCCACACUGGGACUGAGACACGGCCCAGACUCCUACGGGAGGCAGCAGUGGGGAAUAUUGCACAAGGGGCGCAAGCCUGAUGGAGCCAUGCCGCGUGUAUGAAGAAGGCCUUAGGGUUGUAAAGUACUUUCAGCGGGGAGGCGUUACCCACAGAAGAAGCACCGGCUAACUCCGUGCCAGCAGCCGCGGUAAUUC
rnacentral:rRNA from 1 species